AGACGGAGGGGGCUAGCGUUGUUCGGAAUUACUGGGCGUAAAGCGCGCGUAGGCGGAUUGAUCAGUCAGAGGUGAAAUCCCAGGGCUCAACCCUGGAACUGCCUUUGAUACUGUCAGUUUGAGUUCGAGAGAGGUGAGUGGAAUUCCGAGUGUAGAGGUGAAAUUCGUAGAUAUUCGGAGGAACACCAGUGGCGAAGGCGGCUCUCUGGACUGAUACUGACGCUGAGGUGCGAAAGCUAGGGGAGCAAACAGGAUUAGAUACCCCAGUAGUCC
rnacentral:rRNA from 1 species